UACAGGGGGGGGCAAGCGUUGUUCGGAAUUACUGGGCGUAAAGGGUUCGUAGGUGGCCAACUAAGUCAGACGUGAAAUCCCUCAGCUUAACUGGGGAACUGCGUCUGAUACUGGAUGGCUUGAGUGUAGGAGAGGAAUGCGGAAUUCCAGGUGUAGCGGUGAAAUGCGUAGAUAUCUGGAGGAACACCGGUGGCGAAGGCGGCAUUCUGGACUACAACUGACACUGAGGAACGAAAGCCAGGGGAGCAAACGGG
rnacentral:rRNA from 1 species